rnacentral:rRNA from 1 species
UACGAAGGGGGCUAGCGUUGUUCGGAUUUACUGGGCGUAAAGCGCACGUAGGCGGAUCGUUAAGUCGGGGGUGAAAUCCUGGAGCUCAACUCCAGAACUGCCUUCGAUACUGGCGAUCUUGAGUCCGGAAGAGGUGAGUGGAACUCCUAGUGUAGAGGUGGAAUUCGUAGAUAUUCGGAGGAACACCAGUGGCGAAGGCGGCUCACUGGUCCAUUACUGACGCUGAGGUGCGAAAGCGUGGGGAGCAAACAGG